rnacentral:rRNA from 1 species
AGACCGUGCUUUGUGCUGUUACGUCUUUCCUCAAGUCCACUUGAUUGUGGCUUCAGGCCCAGAGAGGGUGUAAGGCCCGUGGAGGCAAGAUGUUCGGCACCCGGCGCGUUCUUAGAGUCGGGUUGUUUGGGAAUGCAGCCCAAAGUGGGUGGUAAGCUCCAUCCAAGGCUAAAUACUAGCACGAGUCCGAUAGCGAAGAAGUACCGCGAGGGAAAGUUGAAAAGAACUUUGAAGAGAGAGUUCAAGAGUACGUGAAACCGCUGAGAGGCAAACUGGUGGAGCUGAAAUGGUCUCGAGGAAUUCAGCCGUUUGCAAGGCGACAGUUGUCAGUUGUGAGAUUUAACGACUCCUCUGGCUUCUGAUUGCUUUCCGAUAGGUGCACUUUCCUCGGUGAUCGGACCACGACCGGCGAGCUGUGUUGUCUAGCGUGCUUGGAAGGUAGCGUCGUCUUCGGACGACGUGUUAUAGACAAGCGCAUGGAGUGACUAGCGCGCUGUAUUGAAAUGCCUGCCCUCGUUGGCUCGUACGUUGGUUGCUUUGCGUAUAACUUUGGCUUCACUGCUUCGGCAGAGAGGUUGAGGUUGUCUGCAUUGUUGAGUUGGCCUCUGCGAUUGGCAUGGAAAGUCUGUGGUUGUGAAGUAGGUAGUCCACCUGACCCGUCUUGAAACACGGACCAAGGAGUCUAACAUGUGCGCAAGUCAUUGGGUUCUACGAAACCUAAAGGCGCAGUGAAAGUGAAGAUCCGCUUUUGCGGAUUGAGGUGGGAUGUUGGGCUGCGCGCCCAGCCGCACUACCGGCCCGUUCCACAUGUAUCUCAUGGGGGCGGAGCAAGAGCGUACACGUUGGGACCCGAAAGAUGGUGAACUAUGCUUGCGCAGGUCGAAGCCAGAGGAAACUCUGGUGGAGGACCGCAGCGAUUCUGACGUGCAAAUCGAUCGUCAAACGUGAGUAUAGGGGCGAAAGACUAAUCGAACCAUCUAGUAGCUGGUUCCCUCCGAAGUUUCCCUCAGGAUAGCUGGCACUCGGGAAAUCAAACAGUUUUAUCCGGUAAAGCGAAUGAUUAGAGGUAUUGGGACGAAACUGCUCUCAACCUAUUCUCAAACUUUAA